UGUGAAGCCACCGAAAGGAGACUCAUGCAGGUGAAUCCCUGGGUGAUGCUCUUCUGUCUGGACAUCUGGUAGCUGCUGAAAACAAUAGCUAUCAACUCAAAGAGUUUUAUCCAAAACAACUGAUGUAGAAGCUGCAGUUUGCCUCCACCUCUGAAGAAGCACAAUACACCUUUCUGGGUUACCAAUGGGAUACUUCCCAACAGCUUUGUCAUCACAUACAAUAUUCUCAAACAAGAUCUUAAUGGCAUCUACUUUCUCCAGGAACACAGCCCCUGACCUGUGUGUGUUUGCGUAGAGAAGGCAUGCUAUGUACCCCCUAGGAUAUCAAGAUUCCUGUAGCAGAUUGAGCUCUGGCAGUUGAUCUCAGUGGCUUGAUAGAGUGUCAUUAUAAAAACGCACCUGGAAGAUUCUGUGGAAAAGACAACCUCAGAAGACCAAGAGGCUGACUUUGCAAGAGAGAGUCCGUUUACCACUUAGAACCGUGAACACCACCCCCGCCCUCAUUUAUCUCCAGACUUGAACUAGUGGUUAAAUCCCAACAUGUCCCAGAGAAGUCAAAAGCAUUGUAAAAUCUGGGAAUCUGCCCACCACUCAAGCCUGGGAAAGCUGGCAGAGGAUGCACGUGUUUUACUCACCUGAGUGUUUACAAUGCUCGUGAGGUGCCUCCCUGAUAGUACAGAGGAAUGAAGAAGGAAUAAACAGACCUUCUGGAUAAUUGCAUCAGCCUUCCCCACUAUUCCAAUGCCAUGCUAACAUUUCAAGUAAUGUCCCUUUUGUCUUGCUGAGAAAAAAUCAUUUCAUGAUUUAUUACACUGGAUUAAAGGCUAUGCACACUCUGGAGUUGGAACAUGACUGAAGGGCAAGCAAGCAUAAAGGAUAUCAGAAACAGUUGAUGUGUUUAAAUUUUUCUGAAUUUCUCAAGUAAACUUUUUAGAAAGUAGUCUGAAGAUAAAAUGGUUAUAUAAGUUACUUAAACUGUAGAUGAUGGCACCUUUAUCCCUAUAUAAUAAAAUUAAGAUUUGUAGGUUAAACCUUGGAUAUUCCCAUCUGAGCAUCUGUACCAAACAGAAAAGACCUGUGUGAGUUCCUGAGAACCAGUGCUCAUUCCAGAAGAGACAGGUUUCUCUCCAGGAAGAAAUGUCUGAAAUUCAGUGAAUUAAAAUCCUCAUUGAGUCU
ensembl:lncRNA LINC00616 long intergenic non-protein coding RNA 616